rnacentral:ncRNA from 1 species
UCGGUUCCGGUUCACGCCACGGGGUCAAUCCAGCCCCACCAUCCCGGCGACCCGGCCCC